rnacentral:rRNA from 1 species
UACGUAGGGUGCGAGCGUUAAUCGGAAUUACUGGGCGUAAAGCGUGCGCAGGCGGUUCGUUAAGUCAGAUGUGAAAGCCCCGGGCUCAACCUGGGAACUGCAUUUGAAACUGGCGGGCUUGAGUAUGGCAGAGGGGGGUGGAAUUCCGCGUGUAGCAGUGAAAUGCGUAGAGUAUGCGGAGGAACACCGAUGGCGAAGGCAAUCCCCUGGACCUGUACUGACGCUCAUGCACGAAAGCGUGGGGAGCAAACAGG